GGGGCCGUAAAGGUUUCGACGGGGAUUCUGAGGCAUGAUAAGCGGGUGGUGUUUGGAGAAACACCUAAAUAAGCUCCACUUAAAAUUAAACGCUAAUAAUAGCAGACUCGUAGCUGCAUAAGCUACCGCCGCCUACGAUGCGGCCUGUCCCGGUGAUGAGUGCUGCGGCUUCAUUUGGGGCAUAACCACAGCAGCGAACGUGAACAGAGAUUUUUUCUUUGUAUCUGUCAUGCACUAAAAGGAUACCGACCAAGCUAUCCUGACUAUCGGAGAGCUUGGCGGGAAAUAUAAUAGAUAGUCUGCACCCGGAGAAAGUUGUGUCAAGGGGUUUUCGGACGCGAGUUCGACUCUCGCCGGCUCCACCA
rnacentral:tmRNA from 1 species